rnacentral:rRNA from 1 species
ACUCCUGCGGGAGGCAGCAGUGGGGAAUUUUGGACAAUGGGCGAAAGCCUGAUCCAGCAAUGCCGCGUGAGUGAAGAAGGCCUUCGGGUUGUAAAGCUCUUUUGUCAGGGAAGAAACGGUGAAAGCUAAUAUCUUUUGCUAAUGACGGUACCUGAAGAAUAAGCACCGGCUAACUACGUGCCAGCAGCCGCGGUAAUACGUAGGGUGCAAGCGUUAAUCGGAAUUACUGGGCGUAAAGCGUGCGCAGGCGGUUUUGUAAGUCUGAUGUGAAAUCCCCGGGCUCAACCUGGGAAUUGCAUUGGAGACUGCAAGGCUAGAAUCUGGCAGAGGGGGGUAGAAUUCCACGUGUAGCAGUGAAAUGCGUAGAUAUGUGGAGGAACACCGAUGGCGAAGGCAGCCCCCUGGGUCAAGAUUGACGCUCAUGCACGAAAGCGUGGGGAGCAAACAGGAUUAGAUACCCCGGUAGUCCCA